UGUUUCGGCUAGGGGGCCAUCCCGGCUUACCAACCCGAUGCAAACUGCGAAUACCGGAGAAUGUUAUCACGGGAGACACACGGCGGGUGCUAACGUCCGUCGUGAAGAGGGAAACAACCCAGACCGCCAGCUAAGGUCCCAAAGUCAUGGUUAAGUGGGAAACGAUGUGGGAAGGCCCAGACAGCCAGGAUGUUGGCUUAGAAGCAGCCAUCAUUUAAAGAAAGCGUAAUAGCUCACUGGUCGAGUCGGCCUGCGCGGAAGAUGUAACGGGGCUAAACCAUGCACCGAAGCUGCGGCAGCGAACGUAUCACUUAAAGCGAUUCAGCGGGUUACGAUUGACGGAGCGAAGCGACGUCAAAGCGUAUACAAAGUCGAGUCGGUUUAAGGAUACGUUCGUUGGGUAGGGGAGCGUUCUGUAAGCCUGUGAAGGUGUGUCGUGAGGCAUGCUGGAGGUAUCAGAAGUGCGA
rnacentral:rRNA from 1 species